rnacentral:rRNA from 1 species
UCUUGGUCCAAUUUAGAGGAAGUAAAAGUCGUAACAAGGUCUCCGUUGGUGAACCAGCGGAGGGAUCAUUAUCGAGUUACCGCUCCUUAUAACCCUUUGUGAACAUACCCCAAACGUUGCCUCGGCGGGCAGCCGGAGCCCAGCUCCGGCGCCCGGAGCCGCCGUCUCGGCGCGCCCCACCCGCCGGCGGACCACUAAACUCUAUUUAAACGACGUCUCUUCUGAGUGGCACAAGCAAAUAAUCAAAACUUUUAACAACGGAUCUCUUGGUUCUGGCAUCGAUGAAGAACGCAGCGAAAUGCGAUAAGUAAUGUGAAUUGCAGAAUUCAGUGAAUCAUCGAAUCUUUGAACGCACAUUGCGCCCGCCAGCAUUCUGGCGGGCAUGCCUGUUCGAGCGUCAUUUCAACCCUCAAGCACCGCUUGGCGUUGGGGCCCUACGGCUUCCGUAGGCCCCGAAAUACAGUGGCGGACCCUCCCGGAGCCUCCUUUGCGUAGUAACAUACCACCUCGCACUGGGAUCCGGAGGGACUCCUGCCGUAAAACCCCCCAAUUUUCCAAAGGUUGACCUCGGAUCAGGUAGGAAUACCCGCUGAACUUAAGCAUAUCAAUAAGCGGAGGAA